GUAUCAUCUUCUUCAUCACAGCCUCCUCUCACCACCGUCCGCCGCCCACCGAAAAUCGCCAGCGGCGGCGGUUGACCUCCAAUCCACACCAGAUUUACACCAUAACACCCUCUUCCUCCCCUCAUGACGAAUCCGUCGUUUGUUUCCUUCGAAUCACCGUGGAACUCGUCGAAUCUUUGAUCGAAGCUUGGACGUUCAAACCUUAUUUCACCCGAACCCAUACCAGGUAAAGUCCAGACCGCCCCAAAGCUUAUCCACACGCUUAUUUCUAGAAAAUCCCAACAAGACCUUCCCAGUCCCAAAUCUGAGAAAAUUCGAUCCCUAAUCUCUUUCUUCUUCUGAUUCCGUUCAAGGCCUGGUUUCGUUUUGAAUUAUAAUCUAUGUUGUUUGAUUGUUCUUAAUGAGAACAAUCAAUCGACAUUGAUUUUAAUUCAUUCCGGGGAGGUCAGAGUUCGACAAGUUCAUCAAAGUUCCAAGCCAAUUGUUCACUCCCCAUCGACACGCCUCAUGUCGUCAAGGCAUUCCAGCAUGUUUGGUAUUACUUCAAACUACCGUCAACAAGUAGCUAAGAACAUGUAUUUCCAACUGAAGCCUGAUUGAAUACAAACUGUUUCGGAUUCCCUUUUUAUUUAUUUUUUUCUCUAUUUCUUUGAAUGUUCUGUAAUAGGCCAUGUGUUGUACAUGAUAACUUGGUUAUCUUAUGUUAUUGAUAUGCUGUAGAAGUGAAUUUAUACCCUUUAAAAGUUUGGUGUUGAUUUCUGGAUUUAAGUGAAUGGUGCUAAUUAUCCAGAUCUCACUACUGUUGGUAUUAAGGCAAAGUUAAUGGGUUUGAAGUUUUCAGGCUGUAUUUGAGUUUAA